CCACUCCAAAUUGCCUACCGCCCCAACAGAUCCACAGAUGAUGCAACCUCUAUUGCACUCCAACUGCCUUUUCUCACCAGGACAAAAGGAACACCUAUGUGAGAAUGCUAUUCAUUGACUACAGCUCAGUGUUCAACACCAUAGUGCCUUCAAAGCUCAUUACUAAGCUAAGGACCCUGGAACUCAACACCUCACUCUGCAACUGGAUCCUGGAUGCCCCCAGGUGAUAAGGGUAGGCAACAACACAUCUGCCAGGGGACCCUCAGGGGUGCGUGCUUAGUCCCCUCCUGUACUCCCAGUUCACUCAUGACUGCAUGGCCAGGCAUGACUCCAACACCAUCAUUAAGAUUGCUGACGACACAACAGUGAUAGGCCUGAUCACCGACAACAAUGAGACUACAAGGAGGAGGUCACAGACCUGGCCAUGUGGUGCCAGGAUAACAACCUCUCCCUUAACAUGAUCAAGACAAAGGAGAUGAUUGUGGGCUACAGGAAAAGGAGGACUAAGCACGCCCCCAUUCUCAUCAACAGGGCUGUAGUGGAGCAGGUUGAGAGCUUCAAGUUCCUUGGUGUCCACAUCACCAACAAACUAUCAUGGUCCAAACACACCAAAACAAUCAAGAACGGUAUCCCCAGCAGCGUCCUCAGAGCAUGCGCAGACCAGCUGGCUGGUGUGUUUACAGACAUAUUCAAUCAUUCCUUAUCCAAGUCUGCUGUUCCCACAUGCUUCAAGAGAGCCACCAUUGAGAGCCACCAUUUUCCCAAGAAAGCUAAGGUAACUGAGCUAAACGACUACCGCACCGUAGCACUCACUUCCGUCAUCAUGAAGUGCUUUGAGAGACUAGUCAAGGACCAUAUCACCUCCACCCUACCUGACACCCUAGACCCACUCCAAUUUGCUUACCGCUCCAAUAGGUCCACAGACGAUGCAAUUGCAAUCGCACCCACACUGCACACUGCCCUAACCCAUCUGGACAAGAGGAAUACCUAUGUGAGAAUGCUGUUCAUCGACUACAGCUCAGCAUUUCACACCAUAGUACCCUCCAAAUUUGUCAUCAAGCUCGAGACCCUAGGUCCUCAACACUGGGGCCCCACAAGGGUGUGUUCUGAGCCGUCUCCUGUACCUCUCCUGUACUCUCUGUUCACCCACGACUGCAUGGCCAUGCAAGCCUCCAACUCAAUCAUCAAGUUUGCAGAUGACACUACAGUGGUAGGCUUGAUUACCAACAAUGACGAGACCGCCUACAGGGAGGAGGUGAGGGCCCUCGGAGUGUGGUGUCAGUAAAAUAACCUCACACUCAACGUCAACAAAACAAAGGAGAACAUAGUGGACUUCAGGAAACAGCAGAGGGAGCACCCCCCUAUCCACAUCGACGGGACAGUAGUGGAGAGGGUAGUAAGUUUUAAGUUCCUGGGCGUACACAUCAUGGACAAACUGAAUUGGUCCACCCACACAGAAAGCAGCACCUCUUCAACCUCAGGAGGCUGAAGAAAUUUGGCUUGUCACCAAAAGCACUCAGACUUCUGCAGAUGCACAAUCAAGAGCAUCCUGUUAGGCUGUAUCACCGCCUGAUAUGUGUUUUGUCUAGUCUAGGGGUUUUGUAUGUUUAUGGGGCUGUCCCCUUUCUAGGUAGUUUUGUAUGUCUAUGGUUGCCUAGAUUGGUUCUCAAUUAGAGGCAGCUGUCUGUCGUUGUCUCUGAUUGGGAACCAUAUUUAGGCAGCCAUGUGCUUUGGGUAUUUUGUGGGUUAUUGUCUUCUGUCAUUGCACCAAAUAGGACUGUUUCGGUUUUCACAUUUGUUGUUUUGUGUUUUGUAGUGUUUAUCAUCUAUAUUAAAGAUGUUGAACACGAACCACGCUGCAUUUUGGUCCUCCUCUCCUUCAGCGGAAGAAAACCGUUACAACAACGCAUCACCGGGGGCAAACUACCUGCCCUCCAGGACACCUACACCACCCGAUGUCACAGAAAGGCCAUAAAGAUCAUCAAGGACAACGCUCACCCCGCUAUCAUCCAGAAGAUCCAGUACUACACCAUCGAGAGCAUGGUUGCAUCACUGCCUGGUAUGGCAACUUCUCAUCCUCUGACCGCAAGGCCCUCCGACCACAAGGCAGAUGGUAGUGCAUACAGCCCAGUACAUCACUGGGGCCAAGUUUCCUGCCAUCCAGGACCUCUAGCGCUUGCC
ensembl:lncRNA